GACGAACGCUGGCGGCGUGCUUAACACAUGCAAGUCGAGCGGUAAGGCCCUUCGGGGUACGACGAGCGGCGAACGGGUGAGUAACACGUGGGUGACCUGCCUCUAGCUCUGGGAUAAGCCUGGGAAACUGGGUCUAAUACCGGAUAUGACUCCACGGCGCAUGUUGUGGGGUGGAAAGCCUUGUGUGGCUAGAGAUGGGCCCGCGGCCUAUCAGCUUGUUGGUGGGGUGAUGGCCACCAAGGCGACGACGGGUAGCCGGCCUGAGAGGGCGACCGGCCACACUGGGACUGAGACACGGCCCAGACUCCUACGGGAGGCAGCAGUGGGGAAUCUUGCGCAAUGGGCGAAAGCCUGACGCAGCGACGCCGCGUGAGGGAUGACGGCCUCGGUGUAAC
rnacentral:rRNA from 1 species